GUCACACUUUUAUAAACAGGAGUUUAUUAGCAAAGAAAUAGCAACUAUAUUAUAGAUGGUGAAAUAUAUUGAAUUACACUAAUAUUGCACAAACAUCAACAACAUUGACCUUAAACAGGGAUUAGAUACCCCUUUAUACAAUGCAAACAAACUUUGCGGAGCACUACAGCCAUCAUGGCCCAAACUUAAAAAUCAUGGCGGUAACUUUAAUUUAGGGGAACUUACCAAGUAAUUGACAACCACCAAGGUAAAUCAACCAUAGAUAAUUCCUGUAUGCCGUCGUCGUCAGGUAAAACUUAACGUUUUACCAUAAAGUAAAUCAAACAAAAGACAGAUCAAGGUGCAGACAACUCUAUGGGUUAGGCGAGUUACAAUUGGCAUAUUCUAACAGACGAGUAAAGUAUUCUACAGAUGAAGUUGGACUUAACAGUAAUUUAUAUUAACAAUACUUAAUGAAGAAAUAAAGUUGUGCACAA
rnacentral:rRNA from 1 species